UUUUUUUUUUUAACAUUUUUUUAACCAUCCGGGAUUUACCCGGUUAGAGCGGUUGAAUCGGCCUGUUUACCGAUUAGACAGGAUAAACCGCUUUCAAGUUCAUAUCCAGGGCUCGAUUUUGCGAAUUCUGGUCAUGACAGUUAUGUCUGCUAGCAUGCUUCUACGUCAGGAGAAAGUCAUGUUCAGUUUCACCUUUGUCCAUAUGCUUCUAGGUCAGGAGAAAGUCAUGUUCAGUUUCACCUUUGUCCAUUCUGUUCCCAAAGAGCAUUAUCCUCCAAGGAAGAACACAUGUUUGAGCUUUGAAAAAUAAAAAAGAAAUUACGGAAAAUGGUUAAGUGGCCCUGGGUCCAAAUGAACAAUUUGGACUCCCAUUUCAACCUCUUUAUUAGGCAUGUUUGAUUGAUACCAAACCCUCAAAACCAUAUUUAUCAUAAGGAUUGUAUAGGCUAUUUAUUUUUUGUAUAAGGAAGUCACAUUCCCUUUUAGCCAUUGGGUGAGAAAUCCAAUAGAUAAAAGUGUGUCACAACAUUUGAAAAUAUUUAUUUUGAACUUUGUACCUAAACAACGAUACAUCUUCAACCAUCCGAUUGUAAAUCUAAUGGUCAAUAAUGACUGUGACAUCCUUGUAUAAAAAAUAAGUGGUCUUAUCAUAUACAAUUCCUUUAUCAUAAUCUAAGAUCAAAUUCAUUUGUAUGCUUAGAAAAUGCCAAAUUAAAUCAUCCCUCAAGAUUGAAUAUGCAGUCUCCAUUUUUGUUCUAAGGAAUUUUGAGCCUAGAAAUUUUUCUUUUCGUAAUUGAUCCUAGAUUGCAUCACAGAUAGCUCAGAAGAGUUUAGUAAACAACUACACAAGUCCCCCUUUCUAGAUGCUCUGGCCUGGCCCCCAAACUACAAUUUUUGCCUGCUGGACCACCAUGCACACCCCUAAAGUUUAUUCGGCUCGUUGGCUAGGAAAUCUGGCGAGAAAAUUAUUUUUAGGGCGAAGGCUAGUAGGAUUCACAUUUCUUUUCUUUUUUAGGCUUGAAAUUUAGAAAAUAAUUAUGAGGAAAAUAUUUUUCUCCAUUGAAAAUUAGAUCCAAAGUCAAAAUAUAUGUUCUCCAUGGAAAACAUUACCAAGAAAAACAUUUCUAGGGAUCCAAACCAACCCUUAAUGCACAUAAAUAUUCUACAUAAAAAUAGUUAUUCUACUUGCAAUACUUCCAAAAAAUGGAGAUAACGAAGUUAUAUUGCAAGUAGAGGUGUUUACACGGGCAUGGGAAUUGGGCUUGGUCUUGGGCUUGAGUGGUCAUUGACGUACAACAAUACUACAUUUUAAGUUCAAUUCUUAGCACUGAACAGCCCAAACAAACCAAAACAAAAUGGGAGGGUGAGGGAGUGCCUUCUUUCUACUACGUUUUUUAUUUUCCUAAAACUAAUACUUUCCUUUGGUGUUUUUAUCGAACCGCUUCGCAAUUUUUGCGUGUAAUCGCUGACGAUGUUAAUCUUUUAUGUCAUUUCAAUUUUAUUAGAUAUCUCCAAAAUCUUUUCCCUUCGGGGUAGUUCAAUAGUAGGAAUCAAACUUGAGAUAUUGUGCUACUAAUGUCAACUGCUAACCACUCGAGCUCGAUCUCGACUCAAUUUUCCUUUGGUCAUCGAAUGCUGAAACCAUACCAUAAUGCCUAAGUGAAGAACCACCUUUUACCUCUAACUUUUGAAUGAAGUUAUUGAUACAUAUUUUUUUCAUUUUUGAAUGAAUUGUGCAGCAUGUGGAGUGAGUGGCUCCUUGUAUGGGCUCAUGUUGUUGAUCGUGGGGUGCGCAUGUUGCUACUCAUGCUUCUACCGUUCAAAGUUAAGGAGCCAAUAUAACCUCUCAAAGUCACCUUGUGCCGAUUGCCUUGUUCACUUUUUCUGUGAAGGAUGCGCCUUGUGCCAGGAGUACAGAGAACUCAAAGCUCGUGGUUUCGACAUGUCUAUUGGUUGGAUUGGAAACAUGGAGAAGCAGACUCGAGGGGUGACCACCAUGCCACCGUCCAUGGCAGGAGGCAUGACUAGAUAAGCUCUAUUCAUUGCUUUUAUUUGUGCAGGGUUUGUUUAAGGGUGUGGUUUAUAUGAGGUCGUGGCCCUAAACAAUUAAAGUAGGGCGCACCUUAAAAUAAUAUUUCAGUAUCAGAAAUCUUUAUGAUGGCCUAAAAAUUUAUUUUCAUCUCUAAUUAGAAAAUUUAAAGUUAAAAAAUAAUGUAGAUCGAGCAAAUAUAUGAGCACUUAGAAA